UACGUAGGGUGCGAGCGUUGUCCGGAAUUAUUGGGCGUAAAGGGCUCGUAGGCGGUUUGUCGCGUCGGAAGUGAAAACUCAGGGCUUAACCCUGAGCCUGCUUCCGAUACGGGCAGACUAGAGGUAUGCAGGGGAGAACGGAAUUCCUGGUGUAGCGGUGAAAUGCGCAGAUAUCAGGAGGAACACCGAUGGCGAAGGCAGAUCUCUGGGCCGUAACUGACGCUGAGGAGCGAAAGCAUGGGGAGCGAACAGG
rnacentral:rRNA from 1 species